GACGAACGCUGGCGGCGUGCCUAAUACAUGCAAGUAGAACGCUGAAGGAGGAGCUUGCUUCUCUGGAUGAGUUGCGAACGGGUGAGUAACGCGUAGGUAACCUGCCUGGUAGCGGGGGAUAACUAUUGGAAACGAUAGCUAAUACCGCAUAAGAGUAGAUGUUGCAUGACAUUUGCUUAAAAGGUGCACUUGCAUCACUACCAGAUGGACCUGCGUUGUAUUAGCUAGUUGGUGAGGUAACGGCUCACCAAGGCGACGAUACAUAGCCGACCUGAGAGGGUGAUCGGCCACACUGGGACUGAGACACGGCCCAGACUCCUACGGGAGGCAGCAGUAGGGAAUCUUCGGCAAUGGACGGAAGUCUGACCGAGCAACGCCGCGUGAGUGAAGAAGGUUUUCGGAUCGUAAAGCUCUGUUGUAAGAGAAGAACGAGUGUGAGAGUGGAAAGUUC
rnacentral:rRNA from 1 species